rnacentral:rRNA from 1 species
CCUACGGGAGGCAGCAGUAGGGAAUAUUGCGCAAUGGACGGAAGUCUGACGCAGCGACGCCGCGUGAGCGAUGAAGGCCUUCGGGUCGUAAAGCUCUGUCCUUGGGGAAGAAGGUCUUCGGACUUGACGGUACCCAAGAAGAAAGCCCCGGCUAACUACGUGCCAGCAGCCGCGGUAAUACGUAGGGGGCGAGCGUUGUCCGGAAUUACUGGGCGUAAAGGGUGCGUAGGCGGCCCUUUAAGUCAGAUGUGAAAGCCCGCAGCUUAACUGCGGAAUUGCAUUUGAAACUGGAGGGCUUGAGUGUCGGAGAGGGUAGUGGAAUUCCCAGUGUAGCGGUGAAAUGCGUAGAUAUUGGGAGGAACACCAGUGGCGAAGGCGACUGCCUGGACGAUAACUGACGCUGAGGCACGAAAGCUAGGGGAGCAAACAGGAUUAGAUACCCUGGUAGUCCUAGCCGUAAACGAUGGGUACUAGGUGUAGGUGGUUUCGAUACCAUCUGUGCCGUAGUUAACGCAUUAAGUACCCCGCCUGGGGAGUACGUGCGCAAGCAUGAAACUCAAAGGAAUUGACGGGGGCCCGCACAAGCGGUGGAGCAUGUGGUUUAAUUCGAAGCAACGCGAAGAACCUUACCAGGUCUUGACAUCCCUGGACAGCUGUGGAAACACAGUUUCCCUUCGGGGCCAGGAGACAGGUGGUGCAUGGUUGUCGUCAGCUCGUGUCGUGAGAUGUUGGGUUAAGUCCCGCAACGAGCGCAACCCUUGCCUUUAGUUGCCAUCAUUAAGUUGGGGACUCUAAAGGGACUGCCGGUGACAAAUC